GACGAACGCUGGCGGCGUGCUUAACACAUGCAAGUCGAACGAAGUGGCGAACGGGUGAGUAACGCGUAAUCAACCUGCCCUUCAGAGGGGGACAACAGUUGGAAACGACUGCUAAUCCCGCAUACUGAAGGAGGGGAUUGCGUCUGAUUAGCUAGUUGGAGGGGUAACGGCCCACCAAGGCGAUGAUCAGUAGCCGGGCUGGGGGGGUGAACGGCCCAAUUGGGAAUUGGGCACGGCCCAGACUCCUACGGGAGGGAGGAGUGGGGAAUCUUCCGCAAUGGGCGAAAGGCUGACGGCGCACCGCCGCGGGGGUGAUGACGGCCUUCGGGUUGUAAAGCUCUGUUAAUCGGGACGCGGUACCGGAAGAGAAAGCCACGGCUAACUACGUGCCAGCAGCCGCGGUAAUAC
rnacentral:rRNA from 1 species